rnacentral:lncRNA from 1 species
GUUUAAGGGAAAAAAACUUUAUUAACCUAAAACUACAAAGGAAAACACUAAGGAAAACACACAAAACACAUAGAACCCAAGAUGAAAACCUUCCAAAUUUCUUCCUCCUCCCCCCCACCUAGAUUUCCAAUUCCAUUACCACCAAAUCCACCCUUUAGAUAAUCAGUUCUCAAUUCCUCGAGAAGAGAGAAGUCCCUCUUGCACCACAGACUUCCCCAGGAAACAGUCGAAACUUCUCGUGUUUCCGUGUCACAUGUGGCACCGCCUGGAGAACAUUUUGCCAUCGUGACUUCUUCCUUCCAUGUCCAGUGCUCUCACCACUGCACAUAGACCAGAGCUGCUUCUAGGGUUUUUCCCUUUAAGGAUACUUUGUCCAGUUCCAAAGAGAGCACAGUCCCUCUCCUUUUGGGACACCUGUCCCCCCCAAAUUUCACCCCCUGGGGCCGAGGGGUCUCUUGAACAGAGAUCAUCUUCCUCUUCCUCUUCUUCGAAGCGGAGGGCACCACCACCACCCUCCUCACCCGUCGUCUCUGUUCACACUCCUCCACAUCACUGCACUCUCCUGGCUCUGAGCCAUCGCCUCCCCCUAGAAUGCAGUCUCUGUGUCACAGGAACACAAGGGGUUCUGCUGUGGCUAUACAAGAAAAGUCCAGCCAAAGGCCACUCCAUCAUCUCCUCCCACCUAGGAUUCUUCUCAACAUCCUCUCAAUCUCAUCAACUUCAGGAGGAAUCAGCAUUUGCAAGGUUUCCAUCCUCCCCAGAAGGGUUAAAAGUCCCAGGCUCUGCCGGUUUGCUUCAUGAACUCCCACGCCUGGCUGCCCUGCUGGGCACCCCCCCCUUCUCCUUCACGCCGGCCGCUAUCACAGGCACCGGCUCUGUCUCUCUCUCCCUCUCUCCGGGGGGGGGGGGAGGAAUGGAGGAUGGCUGCCCGAAGCCCUUGCAAUGUUCUCCUCCACCCUUGGGCCCAGGCCUGGCCUACCUCCGGCCACAUGGCUCCCCUCCACCCCUGCCCAGCCCAGCUCAGGCCAGGCAGGGAGGGUUGAGGGUCUGCUCAGUCCCAA